GGUUCAUUCAAAUUUCUGCCCUAUCAACUUUCGACGGCUGGGUCUUGGCCAGCCAUGGUGACAACGGGUAACGGAGGGUUAGGGCUCGACCCCGGAGAAGGAGCCUGAGAAACGGCUACUACAUCCAAGGAAGGCAGCAGGCGCGCAAAUUACCCAAUCCCGACCGGGGAGGUAGUGACAAUAAAUACUGAUACAGGGCUCUUUUGGGUCUUGUAAUUGGAAUGAGUACAAUUUAAAUCCCUUAACGAGGAACAAUUGGAGGGCAAGUCUGGUGCCAGCAGCCGCGGUAAUUCCAGCUCCAAUAGCGUAUAUUAAAGUUGUUGCGGUUAAAAAGCUCGUAGUUG
rnacentral:rRNA from 1 species